rnacentral:lncRNA from 1 species
AUGUGUCAUGUUAAAAAUGAAAAUGCUACCAGAUACAGAAGAGCAGAAAAUCAUCAUGAGAAAAAUGAAGUCUUAAGUUGUUCUGGGAAUCAUUUGCAAGGCAGAUUUGAGAGGGAAUUGAAUGGUGUUCUAAGAGGUACUAUUGAGGUGUGUAGACCAGUGAGACAAGAUGAGUGGCAGGCGGUUGAACUAAGUACAAAUUGUCUUGGACUUUUGUCUUUAAAAUAUUAUGUAAUAACCAUGAUAAUAUUUGUGAAUUACAGCUUUCUAAUCUGUAAAAUAGGGUGAAAAUUUAUUUUCUAUUUUACACAGUGAUGAGGAUUAUGAUAUUGGAAAUAGAGAUGAAGAAACAAUCUGAACACUAUCUAGAAAGAGGUGGCAUAAGAUGAUGCCUAUCAAUAAGAAAUCAAAGUAGAAGAUAUUUGAAAAUCACCCAUAGGCUAGUUGGGUGAGACCCGAAGCGGGUAGUUGGAAAAAGAAUUUGACCAUCAUAAGUAAAAAGAUAACAUUUGAAGGCCUAGUUGAAAGUGUGGAGAUGGACUGUCAUAAAUGUGAUAAUUAUGUCUGUUUUCAGAUCAUUGACUCACAUUUUCCUAUUUAUAUCCAAAAAAAAUUUAAAUGAUGGAUGUGAAAGUGAUAUACUUCUUUUUACAAAUAAUAAAAUUAUAUUAGUAAUACCUAAUAUGUAACUGUUGGUCUAGUUUUAAGAAUGAUUUAAGGAUUAACUCUCGUAGACAAAAAGGUAUUUCUUCAUAAAAAUUUCUCUAACUCAUUGUAUUGUUUUUAAGUCUCAAUUAUCACUGACCUUUUUAAAAAAUAUCACUGUCAUCUUAGGCUGAAAGCCAUCUAUUAACUGACAACAGAAUAGUCUUUUAAAAACAUGUUUGUUCAUGUCACUUCUUCAUUGACUCAUGAACCUUGACUGGAUAGUUCAGUAGGUGAUGCCACAUAAUAUUGGAAUUAAUGGCACCUGGCCUGAGAAAAUAACAUAUUUUCCAUCUUAAUUCCACAUUAUUUUUAAUGGGAUUCCUGGAAUCUUGUUUUAAUACCAAAAUGUGAAAGUAUCUUCUAACAGUAAUCAGUGUCAUGAAAUUCUGAGAUGAUCAUUUUCUAAAAUACAGAUUUUGGGAAGUUUAUUUUCUUUCAUUGUAAACAUCCCUGUAAGAAACAUAGUAACAAUAAGUAUGUUAUUUGAAAGGCUUGAGGAUGUAGAGUCUGAAUUUGGCUUUUUUGCAUUCAAAUUCUGGUCUUGUCACUAAUAUCCGU